rfam:Populus trichocarpa scaffold_3_contig_46, whole genome shotgun sequence.
UCUAGAACUCGAGAUAUGGGCUGAACAUUGAACAAUGUCUGGGCUGCAGGACAGAUUCGGACUUCUCUGUUGUUGCUACCAUUUGGACUUGAAAACGGUCUUUUAAAAUCUUGGGCUCCACAUGAAAGUUGUAGGCCUAUGUCUUAUCUUUCCAGC